GAUGAACGCUGGCGGCGUGCCUAAUACAUGCAAGUCGAGCGGAAAGGCCUCUUCGGAGGUACUCGAGCGGCGGACGGCUGAGUAACACGUAGGAACAUACCCCAAAGUGAGGGAUAAGCACCGGAAACGGUGUCUAAUACCGCAUGUGCUCUAAGGAGUAAAGCUUCGGCGCUUUGGGAAUGGCCUGCGCAUGAUUAGCUUGUUGGUGAGGUAAUGGCUCACCAAGGCGACGAUCAUUAGCUGGUCUGAGAGGAUGAUCAGCCAGACUGGGACUGAGACACGGCCCAGACUCCUACGAGAGGCAGCAGUAGGGAAUUUUCCACAAUGGGCGAAAGCCUGAUGGAACAACGCCACGUGCAGGAUGAAUGCCUUAGGGUUGUAAACUGCUUUUAUAUGUGACGAAUAUGACGGUAGCAUAUGAAUAAGGAUCGGCUAACUCCGUGCCAGCAGCCGCCGUAA
rnacentral:rRNA from 1 species